CAGGAACAGAUGUGUUAAAUGUUGCCUGUGGUAUGUGGCAGAAGUGAGUGUCCAGCUCCAGGCUGUCUGACUCCAGACUCCAGGCUCUCGAGGACGAACGCAGGUCGCUGGUUGAGAGGGGAACCCCAUGUUCCAGGUACUCAGAGGGAGGUUUCCACGUUACAGUUUUGUUAUGAGAAUUGAAGCCUGAGUCACAUCCUAUCUCAUCACAGAGCCUUGCCCACAAGAUGCCCUGUAUGUAGGGUCACAACUCUUCUCAAAAAGCAACUUUGAAUGAAGUCAAAUGCCAAACACACACACACACACGUUUUGCUCUGACCUCAGCCAGGAAGACUUUGGGAACCGCAUUUGCACCUACGAUGGACGACCCACCAGGAAAACUCAGCUAAUUCCCGGGAAUUGAGUCACCCGAUAGUCUCAUCAACUUCCCCUGUGUUCUUUUCGGAACUUUUCUCAACUCUCUCAAAAGGGAAGUCAUUUCUUUUAAAGUCUCAUAUUCAAGUGAGUGUAAAGGUUGAGAACGAGGUAUGAUACAGAUGUCGUAAACUCCCGUCCGCACGCACAGUAAGUGUCGAUGAGCUCACCGUGGAGGUGACACGGCAUCUCUGGGUGGGUCCCUGCUCUGCCGUCGGAGCAGCCAAUUCCUGGUCAUUCCUGAAAUAGCACCCAGACAGCAGCGCGGGGGCAGGUUUUGUUGGUGGCCAUGCCCACCACCUGGAGACGAGCAGGUGCCUGGGUGGCUUUUGUUCACACUCACAAGGACCCGUCAGUCAGAGAGCUGACAUUGUCUACACGCCCUCCUUGGUAGACAGGUUAUCACUUCGGAGAAGGAUGAUGUUUCUAAGACCUUAAUAAGGCCUAGAAAGCACCAAGGAAUACAUCUUCUUAUGAAAACCAGAUGCAAAUUCUGUGACACAAGCGGUUCAUCGGUGCUGACAGAAACUCUGUAGCCAGACAGUCAUCGGCUGAUGUUACCCGUGAGGAGGACCCCAGAGUACUUAGGGAGAAAUGAUCACUAGGAGCCGGCACGGAGCAAGUCACGUCAGACUGUUUUAAUAAAGAAAAGCUUACUUGUCAUGUGAGGUCAAACUUUCAAGGAACGAUCAUCUCAAGCUGACACAAACUCUUCCAGACAAUAGAGAAAGAGAGAUUACUCCCCAGCUCAUCUCACCAGGGAGGAGAGCCUGUGGUGAACAGAAGGAAGAAACAUCUCUGCCCUCAUGGAACUUACUCUCCGGGAGGGUGUGAGAGGGACACACAGUAAAUAAAGUAGUAGCAUGUCUGAUGGUGGAAGCUGCUGUGGAGAAAAAUAAAGCAAGA
rnacentral:lncRNA from 1 species